CUGUUAUCGUCGUUAUCAUUACUUUAUAAAUAUUUAAAAGUUUAGCAUUAUUUAUACAUUUGGAUUAUAGGAAAUGCAACGUCUGCAUUGUAUUACACCCCCACAAAAAUUCAAGGGAUUGCAAGUGCACGCCGACAAAUUCUAAUCUUCUCAUUAAAUCUAUCACUGAGAUACUGAGAAAUUAAUAUUACUUUCUCAGUUCUGAUGUAAUGUAAGUACUUACAUUAAAAAUAUUAUAAUAGAUAGGUAUUAAAGUAAAACUUUAAAAUCGCCCUUGUUAUUAUUUUUUUAUAAACGACACUCACCCUUUUGCCAGAAGUCUUGGAUUGCCCGUCAUUCGAAUAUCAAAAAAAUAUGUCUGCAUUAUGUGGUUAUGAAAAAAAAUGGAGGUUCCACAAAAUAUUGCAAGUUCCUGAAUCGGUUCCAUGAGUAAAAUAAGUUGGGUCAAGAGUAUAGAAUUAUUUUGUUUUACAAUUCUAUGGAUGGAUCGGUGAUAUUCUUUUUACUAGUUAUUAUUAAAGACCGUAUUUAAUUGUUAUUGCAACUUUAUUUUGCCAUAAAGAUAAAUCAGAUCUGAUUAAAU